UACGUAGGGAGCAAGCGUUGUUCGGAUUUACUGGGCGUAAAGGGCGCGUAGGCGGCGCGACAAGUCACUUGUGAAAUCUCCGGGCUUAACUCGGAACGGUCAAGUGAAACUGUCAUGCUAGAGUGCAGAAGGGGCAAUCGGAAUUCUUGGUGUAGCGGUGAAAUGCGUAGAUAUCAAGAGGAACACCUGAGGUGAAGACGGGUUGCUGGGCUGACACUGACGCUGAGGCGCGAAAGCGUGGGGGAGCGAACAGG
rnacentral:rRNA from 1 species